rnacentral:lncRNA from 1 species
AAUGUUAUUUAUGAACAAUAUUUAGGCAGUAAUAAUUCAAUGCGUCAAAAGACGUACACUAAAUUAUUAACACGGAACAGUUCAUCAAACUUUAAUGUAAAUACAAUCGAGAAUACAUCUUUUCCUUGUUCCUUCUUUUCCUACUUCAUAUAUGUAUGACUCUCAUAUUAAUAAUAAUAAUAGAAUUUCUUACGAAAAGUCUGUUCCAACUAUUUCGUUCUAUGAAUCUCCUCAAACUCAGCGACAUGAAGCACAUCAGUACCAGAAAGAACCUUCUCGACUAAUAUCUAUUUGAGAAAGAAACAAUCUCGAUCGGAGUCAUGUAGGAUAUAAUCUUCAUCAAAAUCAAGCAAGAUGCAAUCUCGUUCAGAGCCAAGCAGAAUACAAUUUUGGUCAGAGCCAAGCAGAAUACAAUUUUGGUCAGAGCCAAACAGGAAGCAGAUCACGAGAUAGAGAAGUAGAUGUCAAUACGAAAAAUUGAACAAUGUUGUUUCAAAAGAAGAUUUUCAUUUCAGAUAAAAGUGCUUCUAUAUUCACAC